rnacentral:rRNA from 1 species
GUGGGGAAUAUUGCGCAAUGGGGGAAACCCUGACGCAGCAACGCCGCGUGAUUGAAGAAGGCCUUCGGGUUGUAAAGAUCUUUAAUUGGGGACGAAAUAAAUGACGGUACCCAAAGAAUAAGCUCCGGCUAACUACGUGCCAGCAGCCGCGGUAAUACGUAGGGAGCAAGCGUUAUCCGGAUUUACUGGGUGUAAAGGGCGAGUAGGCGGGCCGACAAGUUGGGAGUGAAAUCCGGGGGCUUAACCCCCGAACUGCUUUCAAAACUGUUGGUCUUGAGUGAUGGAGAGGCAGGCGGAAUUCCCAGUGUAGCGGUGAAAUGCGUAGAUAUUGGGAGGAACACCAGUGGCGAAGGCGGCCUGCUGGACAUUAACUGACGCUGAGGCACGAAAGCGUGGGUAGCAAACAGGAUUAGAAACCCGGGUAGUCC